rnacentral:rRNA from 1 species
AUUGAACGCUGGCGGAAUGCUUUACACAUGCAAGUCGAACGGCAGCACGGACUUCGGUCUGGUGGCGAGUGGCGAACGGGUGAGUAAUGUAUCGGAACGUGCCCAGUCGUGGGGGAUAACGUAGUGAAAAUUACGCUAAUACCGCAUACGAUCUAUGGAUGAAAGCGGGGGAUCGCAAGACCUCGCGCGAUUGGAGCGGCCGAUAUCAGAUGAGGUAGUUGGUGGGGUAAAGGCCCACCAAGCCAACGAUCUGUAGCUGGUCUGAGAGGACGACCAGCCCAACGGGAACUGUGAGACGGUCCAGACUCCGACGGGAGGCAGCAGUGGGGAAUUUUGGACAAUGGGCGAAAGCCUGAUUCAGCCAUUCCGCGUGCAGGAUGAAGGCCCUCGGGUUGUAAACUGCUUUUGUACAGAACGAAAAGGUUUCUACUAAUACUAGGAGCUCAUGACGGUACUGUAAGAAUAAGCACCGGCUAACUACGUGCCAGCCGCCGCCGUAA